GGAAUUCGCCCUUAGAGUUUGAUCCUGGCUCAAGAUGAACGCUGGCGGCGAGCUUAACACAUGCAAGUCGAACGAAGCACUUUAUUUGAUUUCCUUCGGAACUGAUUAUUUUGUGACUGAGUGGCGGACGGGUGAGUAACGCGUGGGUAACCUGCCUUGUACAGGGGGAUAACAGUUGGAAACGGCUGCUAAUACCGCAUAAGCGCACGGCAUCGCAUGAUGCAGUGUGAAAAACUCCGGUGGUAUAAGAUGGACCCGCGUUGGAUUAGCUAGUUGGUGAGGUAACGGCCCACCAAGGCGACGAUCCAUAGCCGACCUGAGAGGGUGACCGGCCACAUUGGGACUGAGACACGGCCCAAACUCCUACGGGAGGCAGCAGUGGGGAAUAUUGCACAAUGGGCGAAAGCCUGAUGCAGCGACGCCGCGUGAGCGAAGAAGUAUUUCGGUAUGUAAAGCUCUAUCAGCAGGGAAGAUAAUGACGGUACCUGACUAAGAAGCACCGGCUAAAUACGUGCCAGCAGCCGCGGUAAUACGUAUGGUGCAAGCGUUAUCCGGAUUUACUGGGUGUAAAGGGAGCGCAGGCGGUGCGGCAAGUCUGAUGUGAAAGCCCGGGGCUCAACCCCGGUACUGCAUUGGAAACUGUCGUACUAGAGUGUCGGAGGGGUAAGCGGAAUUCCUAGUGUAGCGGUGAAAUGCGUAGAUAUUAGGAGGAACACCAGUGGCGAAGGCGGCUUACUGGACGAUAACUGACGCUGAGGCUCGAAAGCGUGGGGAGCAAACAAAAUUAGAUACCCUGGUAGUCCACGCCG
rnacentral:rRNA from 1 species